rnacentral:lncRNA from 1 species
CAGAGCUGGAGGUAAGCCCCAUCCCUCCUUCCUCUCUUCCUUCCCCUCCUUCUCAUGGUUUCAUUCACCCUUGCCGAUCGUUGGGUUCGUCGAAAAAUCUACAAAACUAUAAGGCCCUAUUUUGCUCUGUUCGAUCGAGCCUUCUCUUCUUUGUUUUCGACCAUCGGUGCCACUGCCCGUGAUGCCACACCCCUGUAGCAUGACCCCCACCUCC